AAACCAACAGGGAUUGCCUUAGUAGCGGCGAGUGAAGCGGCAAAAGCUCAAAUUUGAAAUCUGGCUCUUUCAGAGUCCGAGUUGUAAUUUGAAGAAGGUAUCUUUGGGCCUGGCUCUUGUCUAUGUUUCUUGGAACAGAACGUCACAGAGGGUGAGAAUCCCGUGCGAUGAGAUGACCCAGGUCCGUGUAAAGUUCCUUCGACGAGUCGAGUUGUUUGGGAAUGCAGCUCUAAGUGGGUGGUAAAUUCCAUCUAAAGCUAAAUAUUGGCGAGAGACCGAUAGCGAACAAGUACAGUGAUGGAAAGAUGAAAAGAACUUUGAAAAGAGAGUGAAAAAGUACGUGAAAUUGUUGAAAGGGAAGGGCUUGAGAUCAGACUUGGCAUUUUGCAUGUUGCUUCUUCGGGGGCGGCCUCUGCGGUUUGUCGGGCCAGCAUCAGUUUGGGCGGUAGGACAAUCGCGCGGGAAUGUGGCACGGCCUCGGCUGUGUGUUAUAGCCCNCCCGAAANUGCCAGCCUAGACUGAGGACUGCGGUUUAUACCUAGGAGGUUGGCAUAAUGAUCUUAAGUCGC
rnacentral:rRNA from 2 species